rnacentral:rRNA from 1 species
CCUACGGGAGGCAGCAGUGAGGAAUAUUGGUCAAUGGACGAGAGUCUGAACCAGCCAAGUAGCGUGAAGGAUGACUGCCCUAUGGGUUGUAAACUUCUUUUAUAUGGGAAUAAAACGUUCCACGUGUGGGAUUUUGUAUGUACCAUAUGAAUAAGGAUCGGCUAACUCCGUGCCAGCAGCCGCGGUAAUACGGAGGAUCCGAGCGUUAUCCGGAGUUAUUGGGGUUAAAGGGAGCGUAGGUGGAUUGUUAAGUCAGUUGUGAAAGUUUGCGGCUCAACCGUAAAAUUGCAUUUGAAACUGGCAGUCUUGAGUACAGUAGAGGUGGGCGGAAUUCGGGGUGUAGCGGUGAAGUGCUUAGAUAUCACGAAGAACUCCGAUUGCGAAGGCAGUUCACUGGACUGCAACUGACACUGAGGCUCGAAAGUGUGGGUAUCAAACAGGAUUAGAUACCCCAGUAGUC